GGUUCUAUGGUGAAAUGGUUAGCACUCUGGACUUUGAAUCCAAGGAUCCGUGUUCGAAUCUCGGUAGAACCU
rnacentral:tRNA from 1 species